rnacentral:rRNA from 1 species
AAAAACUGAGGUGGUAUACGAUGGUUCCGCGUCUGAUUAGCUAGUUGGUGGGGUAAAAGCCUACCAAGGCAACGAUCAGUAGCCGGCCUGAGAGGGUGAACGGCCACAUUGGGACUGAGACACGGCCCAAACUCCUACGGGAGGCAGCAGUGGGGAAUAUUGCACAAUGGGGGAAACCCUGAUGCAGCGACGCCGCGUGAGUGAAGAAGUAUUUCGGUAUGUAAAGCUCUAUCAGCAGGGAAGAAAUACUGACCAUAGGGUCAGCAGACGGUACUUGACUAAGAAGCCCCGGCUAACUACGUGCCAGCAGCCGCGGUAAUACGUAGGGGGCAAGCGUUAUCCGGAUUUACUGGGUGUAAAGGGAGCGUAGACGGCAGCGCAAGUCUGAAGUGAAAUGCCGGGGCUUAACCCUGGAACUGCUUUGGAAACUGUGCAGCUAGAGUGCAGGAGAGGUAAGUGGAAUUUCUAGUGUAGCGGUGAAAUGCGUAGAUAUUAGGAGGAACACCAGUGGCGAAGGCGGCUUACUGGACUGUAACUGACGUUGAGGCUCGAAAGCGUGGGGAGCAAACAGGAUUAGAUACUCUGGUAGUCCACGCUGUAAACGAUGAUUACUAGGUGUUGGGGGACCAAGGUUCUUCG